CUGUUCGAGCGUCAUUUCAACCCUCAAGCUCUGCUUGGUCUUGGGCCCUGCCGGCAACGGCUGGCCUCAAAAGUAGUGGCGGUGCAUCGUGCUCUCAGCGUAGUAAUUCUUCUCGCUGUUGGGUCCCGGUGGACGCUGGCCAGCAACCCCCCAUUUCUAAUGUUGACCUCGGAUCAGGUAGGGAUACCCGCUGAACUUAA
rnacentral:misc_RNA from 1 species